AUCCAGCCAUCCCGCGUGAAGGACGACGGCCCUAUGGGUUGUAAACUUCUUUUGUACAGGGAUAAACCUACUCUCGUGAGAGUAGCUGAAGGUACUGUACGAAUAAGCACCGGCUAACUCCGUGCCAGCAGCCGCGGUAAUACGGAGGGUGCAAGCGUUAUCCGGAUUUAUUGGGUUUAAAGGGUCCGUAGGCGGAUCUGUAAGUCAGUGGUGAAAUCUCACAGCUUAACUGUGAAACUGCCAUUGAUACUGCAGGUCUUGAGUAAGGUAGAAGUGGCUGGAAUAAGUAGUGUAGCGGUGAAAUGCAUAGAUAUUACUUAGAACACCAAUUGCGAAGGCAGGUCACUAUGUCUUAACUGACGCUGAUGGACGAAAGCGUGGGGAGCGAACAGGAUUAGAUACCCUGGUAGUCCACGCCGUAAACGAUGCUAACUCGUUUUUGGGCUUUCGGGUUCAGAGACUAAGCGAAAGUGAUAAGUUAGCCACCUGGGGAGUACGUUCGCAAGAAUGAAACUCAAAGGAAUUGACGGGGGCCCGCACAAGCGGUGGAUUAUGUGGUUUAAUUCGAUGAUACGCGAGGAACCUUACCAAGGCUUAAAUGGGAAUUGAUCGGUUUAGAAAUAGACCUUCCUUCGGGCAAUUUUCAAGGUGCUGCAUGGUUGUCGUCAGCUCGUGCCGUGAGGUGUUAGGUUAAGUCCUGCAACGAGCGCAACCCCUGUUACUAGUUGCUACCAUUAAGUUGAGGACUCUAGUAAGACUGCCUACGCAAGUAGAGAGGAAGGUGGGGAUGACGUCAAAUCAUCACGGCCCUUACGCCUUGGGCCACACACGUAAUACAAUGGCCGGUACAGAGGGCAGCUACACAGCGAUGUGAUGCGAAUCUCGAAAGCCGGUCUCAGUUCGGAUUGGAGUCUGCAACUCGACUCUAUGAAGCUGGAAUCGCUAGUAAUCGCGCAUCAGCCAUGGCGCGGUGAAUACGUUCCCGGGCCUUGUAC
rnacentral:rRNA from 1 species